GGCGAUCUCUUCUUCGCCGAAGUCUCGCGUGUCCCUGGAGAUGUCCUAGGAUACUUCCUCAGCUGCUUCUAUAGGGUUCAACCUGACGGCGAUGAUAACGAAGGCCGUUGCCAUGGUUGUGAAAACAAUGGAAGCGUCGAUAUGAAGCACCCACACGCUGAUUUGUACACCGGCGGUCACCGGAACGUACGUUUCCCGCGUGGAUUUGGUCCUAGCAACGAGAUGCAAUUGCACGGCUCCAAGAGCGAUCCAGCAGAGGAGGCGGACAUGAUAAAAGCCGAGGAGGAUAGGAUAAGAGCUACCUUCGAUUACCUUGACGAUGAGGAGUAUCUGGAAAAUUUACGCUGCAAACGUCGUUCGAUUAGGUAACUUCCAAGCAUCAUAUGACAUCAACAUUCAGGU